rnacentral:misc_RNA from 1 species
GAUGAAGAACGUAGCGAAAUGCGAUAAGUGAUGUGAAUUGCAGAAUUCAGUGAAUCAUCGAAUCUUUGAACGCACAUUGCGCCCCCUGGUAUUCCGGGGGGCAUGCCUGUUCGAGCGUCAUUUCACCACUCAAGCCUCGCUUGGUAUUGGGCAACGCGGUCCGCCGCGUGCCUCAAAUCGACCGGCUGGGUCUUCUGUCCCCUAAGCGUUGUGGAAACUAUUCGCUAAAGGGUGUUCGGGAGGCUACGCCGUAAAACAACCCCAUUUCUAAGGUUGACCUCGGAUCAGGUAGGGAUACCCGCUGAACUUAAGCAUAUCAAUAAGCGGAGGA